rnacentral:misc_RNA from 1 species
GAUGAAGAACUUAGUAAAAUGCGAUAAGUAAUGUGAAUUGCAGAAUUCAGUGAAUCAUCGAAUCUUUGAACGCACAUUGCGCCCGCCAGUACUCUGGCGGGCAUGCCUGUCCGAGCGUCAUUUCAACCCUCAGGGCCCUCCAGCAGGGCGCUGGUGUUGGGGAUCGGCAGUCCCAGCGGCUGCCGUCCCUGAAAUGUAGUGGCGGUCCCACCGUGACCUCCCCUGUGCAGUACAUCGCUCGCAGAGGGACAGCGGUGCGGCCACGCCGUAAAACGCCCAACUCUUCAAGGUUGACCUCGGAUCAGGUAGGACUACCCGCUGAACUUAAGCAUAUCAAUAAGCGGAGGA